UACGGGGGGGGUAAGCGUUGUUCGGAAUUACUGGGCGUAAAGGGCUCGUAGGCGGCCAACUAAGUCGGAUGUGAAAUCCCCAGGCUUAACCUGGGAACUGCAUCCGAUACUGGAUGGCUUGAAUCCGGGAGAGGGAUGCAGAAUUCCAGGUGUAGCGGUGAAAUGCGUAGAUAUCAUGAGGAAUACCAGAGGCGAAGGCGGCUACCUGGACAAUUGCUGACGCUCAGGCACGAAAGCGUGGGGAGCAAAAGGG
rnacentral:rRNA from 1 species